rnacentral:lncRNA from 1 species
UCCUGCAGGGUCAGAAAUGAGGAGGCGGAAAGAGUCGAGAAAUCAGAGGUUUCCCAGCAAGGUCAAAGCAAGUGCCCUGACCCAGACAAUGGAGCUUGCUGUGGAGCUGUGGGUCCUGGAGACCCAGGCUUCAGCCCUGACUUCGACACUUUCCUCAGUGCCCACCUUUCAUCUGGAUGAUGCAGAGAAAGGUAAAAUGACCCCUGUGUUCUCUGUGCUUUCAUUAAUUAGCUCUACAGUUAAGACAUUGUCAUUGACCAUUGAACAAGUAUCAGUGGCCCUUUUUGUUUCAUUUGAAAUCAAGAUAGCUCUCAAUAACAAUGUCGUGUCUAGAACAUACUACCAGGACUGAAAACAAAGGCACAGUGCGAUGUCUCUGAUGGUUUCAGCAUGAGGACACCCAAGGGUUUGUGGACACAUUUUGAAGAAGCUGCAAAUUCUCUGGGUUUUGUUUUUUUAGUAUGUUUUCAUUUCAAUCCUUAUAUUAAUAUAAAUAUAACCACUGGGUAAUCACCUUAGAACCAAUUAUCUCCCCAGAAUUCAUUGCUCAUGUUUGCCUUAUGUUUAGAGCUAUAUUGGAGACGAGUAGAACCAUCCCAGCUAAUGAGAAAAGAAGGGAGAUUAAUCCAUAAAUGGAGCAUUAUCACUAAAAGAGAAAAAAUUAAUUCUAAAAUGACCCAGUAUACAAAUGAAGGUUUGUCACAAUUACAUUUUUAAAAAGUGGUAGAAAAAUUGAUUAACUACACAGCGCAUGAGGGUACAGGCACAGCAAACUUAUUACCAUACUCAGGUGGUGAAUGGCAGUUUAGUUUUCACAUAUUCCACAUCCAAUUAAUUUUGUCAACUUAGUUUUCAAAAUUUUUUUUGUAUUAACUAUAUGAACUUGAUUUUAAUGAAUCAUUUUAUAAGAGUUAUAAGGACUUUUAUCCUAGUUUUAGUUUGUAUGUGUUUAGGCAAAACAAUAUAAAAAUGAUUUAAGUCAAAAGUAAAGAUCUCAAAAAUUUUAUUAUCCUUUUGCUCAGUUUUGAGAAAUACUGAAGUAUGCCUAAUCCUUUCCAUCUGCCAAAAAUGUGAUGGACAAUUUUUCAGGCAAUUCUAAUUAAAAGGGAAGAGCUUUAGUAUAAUGAAAGGAAAAAUGGUCAAGGAGCUAGGAAUUCAGAUCCCAACUAUGCCACUUGAAGGCUGAGAGUCCUUGAACAAGCUGCUUUCUUCUCCUCUCUUCGCCUCAGUUUUAUCAUCUGUGAAAUAAGAAGGUCUUAAUAAGUAACUUUUCCGGGUGAAAUUUUGUGAUUCUAUUUGUCCUUUGUUCUGAAAUGUUAGCUGGCAGUCUCUGGCUCACAGAAGCCUGCCCU